rnacentral:lncRNA from 1 species
UGCUUUACGAUUAUAGAAUGCAAGUCAGAAAGGAACAAUGGGGAAUCUCAUGAAUUAUGAUUCUGUUUACGUUUCCAUGGUUGAUCCUAAUCAUUUAUUUCUUUCAAGUAUGCCCUCCGCUAUCCAUAGACUAACACACACACAAAAGGGAGCAGGCAUUUGCUGAUUACUCUUCAGCUGACCAUGAGGGGUCCCACUCUGUCACCCAGGCUGGACUGCAGUGGUACAAUCUUGGGUCACUGCUGCCUUGACCUCUCAUGCUCAAGUGACCCUUCCACCUCAACCUACCGAGCCUACUACAGGUGUGUGCUACCAUGCUUGGUCUACCUAUCUUUCUUAUUUUAUUUUAUUUUUUCAUAAAUAUUUCUUAUUUUAUUUUAUUUUUUCAGAGACAGGGUCUCAUUCUGUCACCCAGGCUGGACUGCAGUGGUACAAUCAUAGCUCACUGCAGCCUCAAACUCCCAGGCUAAAGCAAUCCUCCCACCUCAGCCUCCUGAGUAGCUGAGACUACAGGUGAGCACCACCAUGUACAGCUAAUUUUAAAAUUUGUGUUGUUAUUGUUUUUUGCAGAAAUGGGGUCUCACUAUGUUGUCCAGGCUAGUCACAAACUCCUGGCUGCAAGCAAUCCUCCCUUCCUAAAGCAU